GGCGCGCUCAUUAGAAGGCGGAGGCGCUUGGCGCGCGGACUGGAGAGGGGACUCCGCGCUGGCCCUGCUGCCUGGGGCGCCCCCGCCUUCCCCGCCAGGACCCGCGUGAAUCCGAGUGGAGCGUCGAUCUCUGCGGACAGAAGCCGGGAGGCUCCCCCGGAGGAGGCUCGUGCAGCUGCCGUUCGCGGGUCCGGUCCUGGGCAUGUGACCUGCUGACUGACAGAUACCUCAUUUUACAUACACAAUCCUGCCACUGAAAUGAGCUACACACACUCCUUUUGAGAGCAGAAAAGGGAUUUUAAACACUCAAGGAUACAUCUAAAAAAAAGAAAGCAGAAGAAAGAAAACAGAAGAAAGCAGAAGAUCCAUUCAGAUUCAAAUGUACUGUGAUUCAAGCUUACCAUAUAUGGCCAAUAGACAAUUAAAUGGCUAAUGUUUUAAUUGAAA